AGUUUUGAGCUAAAUAUAUUUAUAAUAUUAGUUUAUUUAUGAAGGUGUUGUAAAACCUUAUUAAAAAUUAUAUUUAGGGGUGAUAGGCCUUUCAAAAACUAAGAUAUCUUGAAUCUAAUUAAAAGUAUGUAGUACAUUCAACACAACUAUUAAGUGAUUAGGCUUUAUAGAACUAUUAACUUAUAAGGAUUUUUAUUUAUUAUAAUUUAAUAAUUAAGUAUAUAAAUAGAAUAAUAUACAUAUAUUAUAGUUUAUAAGGAGUAAUUAGAUAAAUUAAAGUUCAUAAAUUUUGUAAUAAUGUUAAUAUUAGUAUUAAGUUUAUAUUUAUAUGAUGAACUCGGCAAAAAUGUUUCUCAACUGUUUAUCAAAAACAUAACUAUGUGUAUAAAUACAUAGCGGUUUCUGCUCAA
rnacentral:rRNA from 1 species